GUGCACGCUGGCGGUAUGCCUCACACAUGCCAGUCGAACGGCAGCACCGUAAGAGCUUGCUCUUACGGUUGGCGAGUGGCGGACGGGUGAGGAAUACAUCGGAAUCUACUUUUUCGUGGGGGAUAACGUAGGGAAACUUACGCUAAUACCGCAUACGACCUACGGGUGAAAGCAGGGGAUCUUCGGACCUUGCCCGACUGAAUGAGCCGAUGUCGGAUUAGCUAGUUGGCGGGGUAAAGGCCCACCAAGGCGACGAUCCGUAGCUGGUCUGAGAGGAUGAUCAGCCACACUGGAACUGAGACACGGUCCAGACUCCUACGGGAGGCAGCAGUGGGGAAUAUUGGACAAUGGGCGCAAGCCUGAUCCAGCCAUACCGCGUGGGUGAAGAAGGCCUUCGGGUUGUAAAGCCCUUUUGUUGGGAAAGAAAAGCAGCAGGUUAAUACCCCGCUGUUCUGACGGUACCCAAAGAAUAAGCACCGGCUAACUUCGUG
rnacentral:rRNA from 1 species